rnacentral:rRNA from 1 species
AGUGGAGCCUGCGGCUUAAUUUGACUCAACACGGGGAAACUUACCAGGUCCAGACAUUGUGAGGAUUGACAGAUUGAGAGCUCUUUCUUGAUUCGAUGGGUGGUGGUGCAUGGCCGUUCUUAGUUGGUGGAGCGAUUUGUCUGGUUAAUUCCGUUAACGAACGAGACCUCAGCCUGCUAACUAGCUUCUUUAGUCUACCUAUUGUAGCUUCUUAGAGGGACUGCAGACGCAAUCUGAGGAGGUGUGAGGCAAUAACAGGUCUGUGAUGCCCUUAGAUGU